rfam:Oryza sativa Indica Group cultivar 93-11 Ctg042438, whole genome shotgun sequence.
CCAUCAUCACCAUCACCCUGACUAGUCUUUCAGGCGAUGUGUGCUGGAAGACGGUUUGUUAAUCUUCCAGUGGCGCGCAGAACGCAAGAGAGAGCCCUCGGAAGAUUUCUUCCGAGGGUUUUUUUUU